AACACCUGGCGGCGGCUAACACAUGCAAGUCGAGCGCGCCUUCGGGUGAGCGGCGGACGGGUUAGUAACGCGUGGGAACGUGCCCUUCUCUACGGAAUAGCCUCUGGAAACGGAGAGUAAUACCGUAUACGCCCUUUGGGGGAAAGAUUUAUCGGAGAAGGAUCGGCCCGCGUUAGAUUAGGUAGUUGGUGGGGUAAUGGCCUACCAAGCCUACGAUCUAUAGCUGGUUUUAGAGGAUGAUCAGCAACACUGGGACUGAGACACGGCCCAGACUCCUACGGGAGGCAGCAGUGGGGAAUCUUAGACAAUGGGGGCAACCCUGAUCUAGCCAUGCCGCGUGAGUGAUGAAGGCCUUAGGGUCGUAAAGCUCUUUCGCCUGUGAUGAUAAUGACAGUAGCAGGUAAAGAAACCCCGGCUAACUCCGUGCCAGCAGCCGCGGUAAUACGGAGGGGGUUAGCGUUGUUCGGAAUUACUGGGCGUAAAGCGCGCGUAGGCGGAUUAGAAAGUUGGGGGUGAAAUCCCGGGGCUCAACCCCGGAACUGCCUCCAAAACUGCUAGUCUAGAGUUCGAGAGAGGUGAGUGGAAUUCCGAGUGUAGAGGUGAAAUUCGUAGAUAUUCGGCAGAACACCAGUGGCGAAGGCGGCUCACUGGCUCGAUACUGACGCCUAGGUGCGAAAGUGUGGGGAGCAACAGGAAUUGAUACCUGGUUGUUCCACCGUAACGAUAAUGCCA
rnacentral:rRNA from 1 species